GCCUGCGGUUAUAACACAUUGAAUGAACCAGUUCUUAAUGGUUCACUCAAGUUAAGAAACGUUGCGCGUGGUUGGUAUCCGGAUAGGUGCUCAUUUGGGCAGUUGCGUGCUGCUGAAU
rnacentral:rRNA from 1 species